rnacentral:rRNA from 1 species
GACGAACGCUGGCGGCGUGCCUAAUACAUGCAAGUCGAACGCUUCUUUCCUCCCGAGUGCUUGCACUCAAUUGGAAAGAGGAGUGGCGGACGGGUGAGUAACACGUGGGUAACCUACCCAUCAGAGGGGGAUAACACUUGGAAACAGGUGCUAAUACCGCAUAACAGUUUAUGCCGCAUGGCAUAAGAGUGAAAGGCGCUUUCGGGUGUCGCUGAUGGAUGGACCCGCGGUGCAUUAGCUAGUUGGUGAGGUAACGGCUCACCAAGGCCACGAUGCAUAGCCGACCUGAGAGGGUGAUCGGCCACACUGGGACUGAGACACGGCCCAGACUCCUACGGGAGGCAGCAGUAGGGAAUCUUCGGCAAUGGACGAAAGUCUGACCGAGCAACGCCGCGUGAGUGAAGAAGGUUUUCGGAUCGUAAAACUCUGUUGUUAGAGAAGAACAAGGACGUUAGUAACUGAACGUCCCCUGACGGUAUCUAACCAGAAAGACACGGCUAACUACGUU